rnacentral:rRNA from 1 species
AACGAACGCUGGCGGCAUGCCUAACACAUGCAAGUCGAACGAGACCUUCGGGUCUAGUGGCGCACGGGUGAGUAACGCGUGGGAAUCUGCCCUUGGGUUCGGAAUAACAGUUGGAAACGACUGCUAAUACCGGAUGAUGACGUAAGUCCAAAGAUUUAUCGCACAAGGAUGAGCCCGCGUAGGAUUAGCUAGUUGGUGAGGUAAAGGCUCACCAAGGCGACGAUCCUUAGCUGGUCUGAGAGGAUGAUCAGCCACACUGGGACUGAGACACGGCCCAGACUCCUACGGGAGGCAGCAGUGGGGAAUAUUGGACAAUGGGCGAAAGCCUGAUCCAGCAAUGCCGCGUGAGUGAUGAAGGCCUUAGGGUUGUAAAGCUCUUUUACCCGGGAUGAUAAUGACAGUACCGGGAGAAUAAGCUCCGGCUAACUCCGUG